rnacentral:rRNA from 1 species
UACGUAGGGACCAAGCGUUGUUCGGAUUUACUGGGCGUAAAGGGCGCGUAGGCGGCGCGGUAAGUCACUUGUGAAAUCUCUGAGCUUAACUCAGAACGGCCAAGUGAUACUGCAGUGCUAGAGUGUGGAAGGGGCAAUCGGAAUUCUUGGUGUAGCGGUGAAAUGCGUAGAUAUCAAGAGGAACACCUGAGGUGAAGACGGGUUGCUGGGCCAACACUGACGCUGAGGCGCGAAAGCCAGGGAGCGAACGGG